GACGAACGCUGGCGGCGUGCUUAACACAUGCAAGUCGAGCGGAGCGGCGAACGGGUGAGUAACGCGUGAGUAAUUGCCCCCCUCUCUGGGGUAACAGUUGGAAACGGAUGCUAAUACCGGAUAGUGGGGGAUGACUCGCGUCCUAUCUGCUUGUUGGUGGGGUAGUGGCCUACCAAGGCGACGACGGGUAACCGGCCUGGGAGGGUGACCGGCCACCUUGGGCUGAGAUACGGCCCAAACUCCUACGGGAGACAGCAGUGGGGAAUAUUGCACAAUGGUGGAAACUGUGAUGCAGCAACGCCGCGUGCGGGAUGACGGCCUUCGGGUGGUAAACCGCUUUAAGCCAUGACGCGGUAGUGGCAGAAGAAGCACCGGCUAACUACGUGCCAGCCGCCGCGGUAAUUC
rnacentral:rRNA from 1 species